rnacentral:lncRNA from 1 species
AGAUUUUGCAACUCUUAGGAAAAGUUAAACAGGAAAGGUUAUAAUAAUAGUUUUCACCAUUUUUUUUUUAUAUUUUUUUUAUUUUUCAGGAAGAUGUCCAGUGGUAGUUAACUGAAUCUGUUGCUUUAUUCUAAGAGCUUCCUCUUCAUGUAUCAUGUUAUGUUCCGCAUGUUCAGCAGGGCCGGCGGAUCCAGCCAUUUUCAAAAGUGAAAGGGGGAUUCCAACAACAUGUCCCCACUUAAAUGGAUUGAUCGUCCAAAAAAUAAGGGGGGGGGUCCAACCCCAGGACACCACCACCCCCCUGGAUUAUCCACUGUUCAUGUACAAAUAUAUGUCAUUAGUUAAUAGUAUGCAAUAGUCCAUUUGCCAAUUCCCGUAAUUGACCCUGUAAUUAGAGACCUUAUUUAUAGUUGUCUCCCUUAUCAUGCUUAUGAGGGACAUUAAUUAAUAUUAACAAAGGAGAGCUAGCAGAAAGAGUAAAUUUACCUGUGUGGAAUUGAGUAAUCUUUAAUGUUUUAAAAUCUUUUAAUUACAUUAAUUUGUUAUUUGGCUGAAUACUUACAACAUCAGAAAUUAUUUUAAUGAAAAAUUAGUUAAACUGCCGAUACAUCAUUUUCAAUUCAUCAUACUUUGCAUUGGCAAAAGCUAAUAUUGUCCGGUAUAGAACCAGUCUAAGAUUGACAAAGGGAAGUAACUUGUUUAUAAAGUGUGUAAUAACAAAAUCAAAUCGGUAAUUGGCAAAUGGACUAUUAAUUGUUUAGUCAAGUCUUAAAAGGCUAUUAUAUUAUUUUUCUUUGACGCCUGCAGGAAAGCUUUAAAGCAAAAAUUUAAAAAAAAUUAUUUUGUUGCGUUUAUUUUUGUUGAGAUGACUUUUCUGGCAGUUAACAUCUAAUUGAUAUAUAUAUUGAAAAGACAGCUUGAAUAUAUCUGUACUCCAGGUACAUACAUGUAUAUAUUGACGUUACUGUUCCCAGAUACAAAUGGAUCACAUACCUACCGUAAUACCAUUUUUGAAGCGAAAUAGGACUAAUAAUUUAGUAAUUAACAGUUUUUGACCUGUUCUAGAAAAGAUUGCAAUUAUUUGGAGGAUAAAAACAGAAAUAUUUCAAUAGACAAUAUACUAUAUGGAAGUUAAGUAAAUUAUUCAUCGUUAAAGUCAUGAUAUGAAUCAUAGUAGCAUUAGUUCCAGCAUCAAACAUGCAUAUACUGUAGUAUCGAAAAUGCAACUUCAAGCAAAGCAAAUGUAAAUCGAAAAUCGGGUUUUCAAGCCCAAAAGACUUACUUUGAACAAUCCUAGAUUUCACAGCAAUGUAUCAUAUGUUCCUUUUCUUAAAUUAUGCAUAUGUUACCAGAAAAUUGUUCUAAAAAUAACAAAAGAUCUACGAUAAUAAAUUAGUCAUUCUUCUCAAUAUGCAUUAUUGUCUGUAGCUAGCAAUGAAGAGCUAAAACAAGGGCGAUAAUUUGGUGGGAAAUUUAAAAUGAUUCAAUCUGCAGCAUAAAAAUUUCUUAUCCAAUCUUAAAAGAUUUUUAAUGAAAAUUCUACAAAAGACAUUUAAAAAAACACAUAAAAAAUACGUACCUAUUUAUAACACUCGGUUAUGAAACACUAUUUCGGACAGCCGGCAUUAUGUUUUUUAAUUACAGGUGGUACAAUUUUUAGAAAAAAUAAAACAGGAGAGAUACACUUAAAACAGAACAAAAAGAUAGUUGAGUACGAAGUCUUGCUGCCUCUUAGCUAAAUUUUUGUUUGAUACAUAUACCCAAGG